CACUAUGCAUAGCCGUAAACCUGACAGCUCUUUACAUUUGCUGUUCGCCCGGGAACUACGAGCGUAAGCUUAAAACCCAAAGGACUUGACGGUGCUUUAUAUCCCCCUAGAGGAGCCUGUCCUAGAACCGAUAAUCCCCGUUAAACCUCACCUUUUCUUGCUCCUCCCGCCUAUAUACCGCCGUCUCCAGUCUACCCUGUAAAGGACCCAUAGUAGGCGAAAUUGGUACAGCCCCAGACGACAGGUCGAGGUGUAGCGUAUGAAAAGGGAAGAGAUGGGCUACAUUCAGUGAAGCACUGAAUACGGAAAGCUAAUUGAAAUAUUAACUUGAAGGAGGAUUUAGCAGUAAGCGGGGAAUAGAGAGCCCCACUGAAAUCGGCCCUGAAGCGUGUACACACCGCCCGUCACUCUCCCCGAGCAGAAAAACUCUUUACCUAAAAAGCCAAAGAAUGUAAAGGGGAGGCAAGUCGUAA
rnacentral:rRNA from 1 species